rnacentral:rRNA from 1 species
UAAUACGUAGGGUGCAAGCGUUAAUCGGAAUUACUGGGCGUAAAGCGUGCGCAGGCGGUUUUGUAAGUCUGAUGUGAAAUCCCCGGGCUCAACCUGGGAAUUGCAUUGGAGACUGCAAGGCUAGAAUCUGGCAGAGGGGGGUAGAAUUCCACGUGUAGCAGUGAAAUGCGUAGAUAUGUGGAGGAACACCGAUGGCGAAGGCAGCCCCCUGGGUCAAGAUUGACGCUCAUGCACGAAAGCGUGGGAGCAAACAGGAUUAGAUACCCUGGUAGUCCACGCCCUAAACGAUGUCUACUAGUUGUCGGGUCUUAAUUGACUUGGUAACGCAGCUAACGCGUGAAGUAGACCGCCUGGGGAGUACGGUCGCAAGAUUAAAACUCAAAGGAAUUGACGGGGACCCGCACAAGCGGUGGAUGAUGUGGAUUAAUUCGAUGCAACGCGAAAAACCUUACCUACCCUUGACAUGGCUGGAAUCCUCGAGAGAUUGAGGAGUGCUCGAAAGAGAACC